rnacentral:rRNA from 1 species
CCUACGGGAGGCAGCAGUAGGGAAUAUUGCUCAAUGGGGGAAACCCUGAAGCAGCAACGCCGCGUGGAGGAUGAAGGUUUUCGGAUUGUAAACCUCUUUUGUUAGAGAAGAUAUUGACGGUAUCUAACGAAUAAGCACCGGCUAACUCCGUGCCAGCAGUCGCGGGAAUACGGAGGGUGCAAGCGUUAAUCGGAAUCACUGGGCGUAAAGAGCGCGUAGGCGGGAUAGCAAGUCCGAAGUGAAAUCCUAUGGCUUAACCAUAGAACUGCAUUUGAAACUGUUAUUCUAGAGUAUAGGAGAGGUAGGUGGAAUUCUUGGUGUAGGGGUGAAAUGCGUAGAGAUCAAGAGGAACACUCAUUGCGAAGGCGGCCUACUGGAACGUAACUGACGCUGAUGCUCGAAAGCGUGGGGAGCAAACAGGAUUAGAUACCCGAGUAGUC